AAGACUAUACUUUCAGGGAUCAUUUCUGUAGUUUGUUACUAGAGAAGCUUCUCUGAAGGUGUAGAGCACCAGAACACAUGGACACGGAGGGGAAUAUCACACACUGGGGCCUGUAGGGGGGUGGG
rnacentral:snoRNA from 1 species